rnacentral:rRNA from 1 species
UACGAAGGGGGCUAGCGUUGCUCGGAAUCACUGGGCGUAAAGCGCACGUAGGCGGCUUUUUAAGUCAGGGGUGAAAUCCUGGAGCUCAACUCCAGAACUGCCUUUGAUACUGAGAGGCUUGAGUCCGGGAGAGGUGAGUGGAACUGCGAGUGUAGAGGUGAAAUUCGUAGAUAUUGCAAGAACACCAGUGGCGAAGGCGGCUCACUGGCCCGGUACUGACGCUGAGGUGCGAAAGCGUGGGGAGCAACAGG